UGGCUCAGGACCGAACGCUGGCGGCGUGCUUAACACAUGCAAGUCGAACGAAGCUCCUUAUCUGAUCUUCUUCGGAAUUGAAGAUUUGUAGACUGAGUGGCGGACGGGUGAGUAACGCGUGGGUAACCUGCCCUGUACAGGGGGAUAACAGUCAGAAAUGACUGCUAAUACCGCAUAAGACCACAGCACCGCAUGGUGCAGGGGUAAAAACUCCGGUGGUACAGGAUGGACCCGCGUCUGAUUAGCUGGUUGGUGAGGUAACGGCUCACCAAGGCGACGAUCAGUAGCCGGCUGAGAGAGUAACGGCC
rnacentral:rRNA from 1 species